AACGAACGCUGGCGGCAGGCUUAACACAUGCAAGUCGAGCGCCCCGCAAGGGGAGCGGCAGACGGGUGAGUAACGCGUGGGAAUCUACCCAUCCCUACGGAACAACUCCGGGAAACUGGAGCUAAUACCGUAUACGCCCUUUGGGGGAAAGAUUUAUCGGGGAUGGAUGAGCCCGCGUUGGAUUAGCUAGUUGGUGGGGUAAAGGCCUACCAAGGCGACGAUCCAUAGCUGGUCUGAGAGGAUGAUCAGCCACAUUGGGACUGAGACACGGCCCAAACUCCUACGGGAGGCAGCAGUGGGGAAUAUUGGACAAUGGGCGCAAGCCUGAUCCAGCCAUGCCGCGUGAGUGAUGAAGGCCUUAGGGUUGUAAAGCUCUUUCACCGAUGAAGAUAAUGACGGUAGUCGGAGAAGAAGCCCCGGCUAACUUCGUGCCAGCCGCCGCGGUAAAAC
rnacentral:rRNA from 1 species